UACAGAGGGUGCGAGCGUUAAUCGGAAUUACUGGGCGUAAAGCGCGCGUAGGCGGUUCUGUAAGUCGGGUGUGAAAUCCCCAAGCUUAACUUGGGAACUGCAUUCGAGACUGCAUAGCUAGAGUAUGGGAGAGGGAAGUGGAAUUUCAGGUGUAGCGGUGAAAUGCGUAGAUAUCUGAAGGAACAUCAGUGGCGAAAGCGACUUCCUGGACCAAUACUGACGCUCAUGUGCGAAAGCGUGGGGAGCAAACAGG
rnacentral:rRNA from 1 species